rnacentral:rRNA from 1 species
UACGGAGGGCGCGAGCGUUGUCCGGAAUCACUGGGCGUAAAGGGCGCGUAGGCGGCCCUGGUAAGUCUGCGGUGAAAGCCUGGGGCUCAACCCCGGGUCGGCCGCGGGUACUGCCGGGCUGGAGUGCCGUAGGGGCAGGCGGAAUUCCGGGUGUAGCGGUGGAAUGCGUAGAGAUCCGGAAGAACACCGGUGGCGAAGGCGGCCUGCUGGGCGGCGACUGACGCUGAGGCGCGACAGCGUGGGGAGCAAACAGG